CACGUAGGGUGCGAGCGUUGUCCGGAAUUAUUGGGCGUAAAGAGCUCGUAGGCGGUGUGUCGCGUCGGCCGUGAAAACCUGCAGCUUAACUGUGGGCUUGCGGUCGAUACGGGCAUCACUGGAGUUCGGCAGGGGAGACUGGAAUUCCUGGUGUAGCGGUGAAAUGCGCAGAUAUCAGGAGGAACACCGGUGGCGAAGGCGGGUCUCUGGGCCGAUACUGACGCUGGAGGA
rnacentral:rRNA from 1 species